rnacentral:RNase_P_RNA from 1 species
GCAGAAGCGCGGUCUGUCGCUUCACGCCGGGAGCGUGAAGAGGAAAGUCCGGGCAACGCAGGGCACCGCAUUUUCUAACGGAAAGCCGGAGGCGACUUCGGGGAUAAUGUGACAGAAAACGACCGCCCGACGGGAGAUUUUCUCCCGCCAGGUAAGGGUGAAAAGGCGGGGUAAGAGCCCACCGGCUCCGGCGGCGACGCCGGAGGCCGCACAUCCUGCGGGUUGCAAGGCCAAAUAUACCGGCAGUCAAGGACGGCCCGUCCAUUGCCGGGGGGUAGGCUGCUCGAGCCGUGUGGUGACACACGGCCUGGAUAAAUGACAGACAGCCCGGAACGCUCCGGCGCCCCCGGGCCACAUAACCCGGCUUACAACGCUUCUGCCCCU